AUGGUAGGAUAGAGGCCUACCAUGGUGGUAACGGGUAACGGGGUGUUAGGGCACGACACCGGAGAGGGAGCCUGAGAAACGGCUACCACAUCCNAGGAAGGCAGCAGGCGCGCAAAUUACCCAAUCCCGACACGGGGAGGUAGUGACAAUAAAUAACAAUACGGGGUUCUUUGAAUCUUGUAAUUGGACUGAGUACAAUUUAAAUCUCUUAACGAGGAACAAUUGGAGGGCAAGUCUGGUGCCAGCAGCCGCGGUAAUUCCAGCUCCAAUAGCGUAUAUNAAAGUUGUUGCAGUUAAAAAGCUCGUAGUUGAAUUUCGGGAUCAAUACGUCGGUCGUGCUUUCGGGUACGUACUGGCGUCAUUGGUUUCUCCUUUCUGACGAGCCAUGAUGUCAUUAAUUUGGUGUUAUGGGGAGUUAGGACUGUUACUUUGAAAAAAUUAGAGUGUUUAAAGCAGGCAUUAGCUUGAAUACAUUAGCAUGGAAUAAUGAAAUAGGACGUUCGAUCCUAUNUUGUUGGUUUCUAGGAUCAACGUAAUGAUUAAUAGGGAUAGUUGGGGGCAUUAGUAUUCAAUUGUCAGAGGUGAAGUUCUUGGAUUUAUUGAAGACUAACUACUGCGAAAGCAUUUGCCAAGGAUGUUUUCAUUAAUCAAGAACGAAAGUUAGGGGAUCGAAGACGAUCAGAUACCGUCGUAGUCUUAACCAUGAACUAUGCCGACNAGGGAUCGGAUGAUGUUAAUUUUUUAAUGACUCAUUCGGCGCCUUACGGGAAACCAAAGUGUUUGGG
rnacentral:rRNA from 1 species